GAGGAAUGCAAUGACACGCACGUUGUUGAUUGUAAUCGUGUUAUGGGAAUGGCUGUCAACUGUAUUUGUGAAGUGAACUUCUAUUGGACCAUGGGCCAAUGUCGAGCGGCUCCAACACUACCAUCAACAACAAUAACAACCGACGCAGCAACGACACCCACCACCCAUGACGUCAUUGAUAUUGAAAUCCAAUCGCUAUACACACUUGGCACAGUUAUCGGCGGUGUUGUAGGUGGGAUGGUUUUCGGGUUCAUAGCAGCAACUUUGGUUGCCAUAAUAGUCUAUCGGAAGAUACAAAACAAGCCGGUCAAGACCGAAGUUCCAAGUCCGACACAAAAUGCAGCCUAUGAAGAUGCUAACAUUGUGGAGAGUUCACUCACCAAAAGUGAUGCUUAUGGUGUCGUUGAAUCCUCCCCGCAGCCACAGUAUGAAUUUGUUUGCCCGUAGUAACUGACUGUGCGCAUUCAUUUCGCCCUUGUAGUUUGGUGAGCAUCUCUGUAUAGUCACAGGUGUACGUGUAUAAUGUGCCUUAUUCUCUGUAUCAGUGCCAAUCUCUUACAGAACAAUCUUCCAUGCCUAACCUUGUGCAUUGUUUGAAAAAGCCUCCUAAUCAAGUUUUUUGUAAUUCCUCAGGUCGGUGCACUCUGCACUCUAUCUCGUCCUUUCUCGUCUUCUAUCUUCACAGAAUUGUUACUUUGGUGAAUUUCCUCUGGGAAUGCGCUUUUGAUUACGGAGAGGAAAGCUAACAUGACUUUCAAUUUGGACUUUUUGCCUUGCUGCUCAAGUAGUAAGGCUCAUAAAACGAAAACACGCCCACCCCCACACUCAAAGUUUCCUGUAUUAAUCACGUCAUUAAUAAUUAUAAUAAACUCCAUCGGGUAAAUCUUUUCUUUCGCUAUACAUGAUAAACGGCUUGCCUUUGUCCUCAAUAUUAUCCAUAUCUGCUUCCAUUUCUCAGUUGUUUUCCUUUUCUUUUCGAAAUCGUACUCUUUUCCUUGCCAGUGGUCAUUG